AUUGAACGCUGGCGGCAUGCCUUACACAUGCAAGUCGAACGGCAGCACGGGUGCUUGCACCUGGUGGCGAGUGGCGAACGGGUGAGUAAUACAUCGGCACGUACCUUAUCGUGGGGGAUAACGCAGCGAAAGCUGUGCUAAUACCGCAUACGCCCUGAGGGGGAAAGCGGGGGAUCGAAAGACCUCGCGCGAUUAGAGCGGCCGAUGCCCGAUUAGCUUGUUGGUGGGGUAAAAGCCCACCAAGGCGACGAUCAGUAGCUGGUCUGAGAGGACGAUCAGCCACACUGGGACUGCGACACGGACCAGACUCCUACGGGAGGCAGCAGUGGGAAUUUUGGACAAUGGGGGCAACCCUGAUCCAGCAAUGCCGCGUGAGUGAAGAAGGCCUUCGGGUUGUAAAGCUCUUUUGUCAGGGAAGAAACACCGGCUCUAACACAGUCCGGGAAUGACGGUACCUGAAGAAUAAGCACCGGCUAACUACGUGCCAGCCGCCGCAGUAA
rnacentral:rRNA from 1 species